AUACAGCCCCAAGGGCCGGACCGUCCUGAGCUCGGUGGUUCGUUACGACCCCGCCCCCGCCGACCACGCCCAGUCUGGCCCCGCCCCCCAGGCCCCGCCCCGCCCCUCGGCCACCAUCAGCCUCAGCGUCAGCCUCAGCCACGCCCAGGCCGGGGGGUGGCACU